AUUGAACGCUGGCGGCAUGCUUUACACAUGCAAGUCGAACGGUAACAGGCCGCAAGGUGCUGACGAGUGGCGAACGGGUGAGUAAUGCAUCGGAACGUGCCCAGUCGUGGGGGAUAACGCAGCGAAAGCUGCGCUAAUACCGCAUACGAUCUAUGGAUGAAAGCGGGGGACCGUAAGGCCUCGCGCGAUUGGAGCGGCCGAUGUCAGAUUAGGUAGUUGGUGGGGUAAAGGCUCACCAAGCCAACGAUCUGUAGCUGGUCUGAGAGGACGACCAGCCACACUGGGACUGAGACACGGCCCAGACUCCUACGGGAGGCAGCAGUGGGGAAUUUUGGACAAUGGGGGCAACCCUGAUCCAGCAAUGCCGCGUGCAGGAAGAAGGCCUUCGGGUUGUAAACUGCUUUUGUACGGAACGAAACGGUCUGGGUUAAUACCCUGGGCUAAUGACGGUACCGUAAGAAUAAGCACCGGCUAACUACGUGCCAGCAGCCGCCGUAACAC
rnacentral:rRNA from 1 species